UCGAUGAUGAUUCCCAGUCAAUCAUUCCUUGGAAAAGCUGAACAAAAUGAGUGAAAACUCAGUACCACCGCUCUCAUCGAGACUGAGGUCCUGCACCUUGGGUCACCCAGGUCUUCUGGUAGUUGGAUACGGUGUUGCAUCUGUGGCACACAUGGCCACAGGGGAAACAGAAUGGCCCAACACCCCAGGCCAUGCCUAGGGCUGAUGGCAGCAGCCUGAGCCUAUUGCACUGUUGCCCACUGGUGUUGGUGACUUUUUUGCAGCAGAAGGCCCGAGGACCCAGUGUUGCAUCUGUG